CGUGCCUAAUACAUGCAAGUCAACGGGGGUAAAGCCUCUUUCCGGAGACUUACUUAGUGGCAACGGGUGAGUAACGCGUGAGAAACCUACCUUUCAUGGGGGACAACAGUUGGAAACGACUGCUAAUACCGCAUGAUGUAGCGAGGGGGCAUCCCUUUGCUACCAAAGCUUUAUGUGCUGAAAGAUGGGCCUGCGGCGUAUUAACUAGUUGGUGAGGUAAUGGCUCACCAAGGUGACGAUGCGUAGCCGGACUGAGAGGUUGAACGGCCACACUGGGACUGAGACACGGCCCAGACUCCUACGGGAGGCAGCAGUGGGGAAUAUUGGGCAAUGGGGGAAACCCUGACCCAGCAACGCCGCGUGAAGGAAGAAGGCCUUCGGGUUGUAAACUUCUUUUACCAGGGACGAAGAACGUGACGGUACCUGGAGAAAAAGCAACGGCUAACUACGUG
rnacentral:rRNA from 1 species